CUGGAAGCAGGGUCUGAUACUGCUCUAGGUUAACUGUGCAGACCUAGAGAGGACAGACUAGAAGCCAGACAUGACAUCAUGAUACACUGAAUGUAAUAAGGAUUUCAUUGGUAUUAAUAUUAGACAAUAAUGCCCAAGAGCAGCUGGUAAUUAGACAGGACAGCUGCUGAUGCCAGCCAUUAGUAAUGUUGAUCUAUUUGCUCUAAAAAAGAAAAAAAAAGUAUUGCAGAUGUUUCCCUGUCAACUUUGUUUUGGUUCUAAUAGACUCAAUAGCUCUUCUCUUCCACUGAAGGUAAAAAGUUCAACCCCUGCAUAAUAGACUUAGAUUGUUUGAGUUGCCACAGGAUGUUCUUAUUUCUUUUUGUGUUUAGCCUAGGGCUGUAAAUCACAAACACCAGCCUGCGUAAUUCUGACUUUUAUUACGUUAAUGUAUUUUAAGAGCAGGAAAUCUAUAGGCUCUUGGCUCAGCUCAGCAGAAGCAAAGCACGGUGGGGACUCUGUGGUCAGGAGCAUUCUCAGAAAUGUGCCUCCUGCUGCAAAGGUGACCUCAGGAUAAACUUUGCUUAGCUUUCGGUCAGGGGAAGGAAGGAGCUCCCCACUUCUUAGCUCAGGUGGCAGCUGGGCCUCCUCUAGGAGGAGGAACUCAUUUUGUGAGAGUAGUGAGGGAGGGAAGAGUGGAAGAGCUGGUGGUACUAGCACUGGAGCUUCAGUGCUGAGUCCAGCUUGCAGAUGCAGGAUCCUGUUUGCUCAUCAUUGCAGAUCAGCAGUGGCAUAGCCAAGGGAGCAGCUGAGAGCCCCUGACUCAUAAACCUGGUGCUGUUUCCACUUGGGUCCAGGUGGCAGCACAUAAACUCUGCCCAGUCUCUUCAGGAAAAAAACAGAUCACCUAAGUGCAGACAUUGACAGCCUGGCUCAGUGGUGUGUCCCUGAUCAUCUCCUGAGCUGCUUCUUUUCAGGUAAUAUCUGCAUUUGCACAAAGGUAAUGCAGCUUCACAGAGAAGGGGCCCCCAGAGAAGGACCUGUGUGCUCCUGCAGAUCACACAGGUGGGCUGGGGGCAGGCUGGAAUGAGGAUGCACAAAAAAACAAGUAAGUAGUUGAAAACCAUCUCUGUCUCACAUGCUCUGCUCUAGGACUCAUUUCUAUUCUUUGUUGUAUGCAUUAUUGCUUUUUGGAUGUUAGCAGGGACUGGGGAGGCAUAGCUGCAACUUGUCUUCAGAGUUCUAUAGGCAGGUGAGACCUCCAGGGACUACACCCUAAGAGCUGCUGCCUGACAUCCCUUUCUGGUGAGAUGAGAUAGAGGGACUAUGUGUAGAGAUAGCAUCCAUCUCAACUUCCUUGGUCUGCUUCAAUGCCAUAAGCUAUGCUAAAUAAACUGCAGGUGAUCCAAGAAGCUCUACUCAAGCUUCACUGAGCAACGAUGACAUCCUGGCAUGCAAAGCUGGUCUUUGCUUGCAGUGGAAACAGUUCUCAUGAUUGUGCAAAAUCUUGUGUUUGGUGGAUAUAAUGAUAAUGAACUAAUUUGUGUCAACAGAUUUCUUCAUGACCUUGUUGUUUUUCCCUUUUCUUUUGCCCACCUUGUGCUUUCUUAAUUUGUAUGGAGGCAGGGGAGAGAAAUCCUAUUGAUAAGCACUUUGUCUGUAGAGCCAGGGCUCCAGUUAAGGCUAACAAACUCUAUGUUGCUCUGCCUGGGGACAAGAAUUCCCCAUGUGAAAAGCCUAACAUGAGAGAGUGGUUCUCUGGAGCUUAAUGGGAUGCAGUGCAUGUAUGAAGUCACUGAUGAACAUCAAUGUUUUCAGAAGCAAUUUUCAACAAGGAUCCAUCUUUUUGAAGGCAUACAAAAUGGAUUUCUCCUUUUUUAUUGCUUUUGAAUAUCCUACUGCAAGGCUGCUGCUCUUCAGUUGUGGAUGUAUGCUUGAGUUUAGAGUCAUUUUACUCCUCUUGAUCCUUCUCAUUCACAAGGACUCUGCCUAUUCAGGUGUGCCUUGGGUAAGCGAUGCUGAACAGCUGUGGUAAUCAUAUUAUGAGGCUGUGUUUUAACCUUUCUUUUAGCUCUUGUGUGCUGUGAGAAUUACAGCAAACUGGGCUGUGAUAGAAACGCUGCAAAAUGGAAGUUGAGAGGAGAACUUCUUCAGUAAAAGGAAAAGGGUAGGGGAAGGGUUGCAGGAGAGAAGGAGAUUUGAACAAAAUCUCCAGAUUCAGCCUCUAAAGAGGAGGGGUAGUGGAAGCUAAUGCAGUGAAAUGAGCUGUAACAAAGCCAUGCCAGGAAUUAUUCAGCUGUUCACAAGAAUUUUAGAAGAACUGUAAUUGGGAAAUGAUGUGAAUAUCAAACAAAAUGUCACUUGCUGGAAGCCUCACAAGGAGGGGGAAAUAAAAAUGAUGAAAGUGCUGCAUUACAUGUCACCCUCUUAGGCACGCUCUGAAAGAGUUCCCUGCUCCCCACUUAGACCCUUUGACAUGCUAUUGUGUGGCUUUGUGUACUUCUGAGCGGGGUGGUUCUCUGCAGAAGAAAUUAAAAUGACGGGAAAGCUGGCUUGUCACAUUAAAUAACAUCACAUGCUUUUCUGCUGGGGAGAAAAACAGAAAGAAAUACUCUGCUGAGUUCCAGGAAAAUAGCUGCUGAGGAAAUGAGUGUGGCAACUCCAUCCCCUCACCUGGAAAGUAACAGUUGUGCCAGUAUGGGGAAGCACUGGCAGGGCUCAUGGCAGACCCGAGUUUCUGCUGUUUGCUGCAGACUUGAUGUCCACAUCACAGAUCUCUCUGGCUGUCCAUAAUGACCUUCCAGCCUAAAUGCUGGUUUUCUAUUUUACUUUCUUAACAUUUGAAGUGCAUUUCUAAAUACUGGGAAGAUUUGCCACCAGCAUUUCCUGCUUUUGUUUAUUGAUUUCUUCUUUUUCUCCAAAUUCCCUGCCUGUCCUUCUUUGGAAACAUGUCCUCUUGGAAGCACAUCACGGCUGGAUUGCACCGUGAGGUCCCCAUGGCGUUCUCCUUGGCACUCACAGUAGUGUUUCCAUUUGGAUGACCUAUGUGUUCUUGGUCUCUUUGAUUUAGUGCAAGCCUUUGUGCAGAAACACGGAGAAACAUCCCUCUACACAUAGAAUUGGAAUCAUUAAGGCUGGGAAGGACCACUAAGAUCAUCUAGUCCCACCAUCCACCUACCACCAAUAUUGCCCACUAAACCUUGUCCCUAUGUACCACAUCCACAUGUUUCUUGAACACCUCCAGGGAUGGUGACUCUACCACCUCCCUGGGCAGCCUGUUCCAGUACCUCAUCACUCUUUCUGAGAAGAAAUUUUUCCAAACUAUCCAAUUUGAACCACACAUUGUGCAAUUUACAGCCAUCCCUUCUUGUCUUGUCUCAUGGAGACCAGGGCAGUCACUGAGCCCUGAGUUUGGGAAGAGGAGGAGGCAUUGGCCAGAUUUGCUCUGAGCUUUACCCAAGUGAAAGGAGAAGGUGAAAAGGUGGGGGAGAAGGGAGAAGGUAAGAACUCUGUGGAGGAGGUCACAAGGUCUGUGACUGAGAAGUCAUGAAAAGCGCUCCUAUUUUAGUUCGGAUUUCUCAGUGGUCUCUCUCUCAUAUCUGCAAUCACCAGGAUCUUAGAGGGUAAUAUGGCUUUCCCUUGGCUUUGGUGCUGGGGCUCUAUUGGGGAAAAGGUAUCUCAAUACAGUGCUGUAAAAAAGUGAGUUAUCAGAAAUAUAUAUAAAAAAUCAUAGUGACAAUCCAGACAUUGUUACACACCCAUCAUGUUUAGGUGAUUUUUUAGGAAACUUUUCUGGCAAACAAUUUUAAGAGCUGGAAUAGGCAUUCCUAUCUUUCUCUAUAAACCACUUCGAAUAUUUACCAAUUUAUUUCUUAAGAUAAUGCUUCUAAAGAGCAAAACACUCAAAGCCCUCUUGCAUUUUUGCCUCACCUGCAUGCCUUCCCAUGUAGACCUGGGAGACGCUAGCUUUAAAAGAAGGAAAAAGUAAAGAAAAGCACUAUCUUGCAGUGAGCUGUAGAGCCUGAGGCCCCAAAGUAAGAUUUUAAGAUUUCACUCUGGUUUCUCCAAAUAUGUCUUUGAAUGUGUUUUUCUGUUUGUUUUCUAUCUAUCUAUAUUUAACAUUUUGUUGCUAUUUCUAGUCAGAGAAGUGUUGUGUCUGAACAGGGACACAGUUACCACAAAACAUGUGCGCAAGCACAGGACUGUGAGUGGACACAGCUCUGUACUUGGCUGCUGGUGUUGGUUUAUGUAGCAGCAGGGGUACAUAUAUAACCUCAAAGCAGGUGUGGUGGAGCAUUCUGCAUGGUUAAACCCAAGCUGUAAUUCCCAGCUGCAGUAUCAGAGGGGAGGUGGUCAGAAGGAGACGGAGUAGCUAUGGGAAGUGAAUUGGUCUGUCAUUACAUCAAAGGAGGGUCAGACUGGGGAUUAGGAAAAGGUUCUUCACCAGAGGGUGGUCAGGCAUGGAACAGGCUCUCCAGAGCAAUGGGCAUGGCACCAAGCUGCCAGAGUUCAGGAAGUGUCUAGACAACAAUUUCAGACAUAAGGAUUGUUUGGGUGGUGAGACACUGGAACAGGUUGCCCAGCGAGGUUGUGGAUGUCCUCUUCCUAGAAGCAUUCAAGGCCAGGCUGGAUGGGACUUUGAGCAACCUGGUCUAGUGCAAGAUGUUACUGCUUUUAAAAGGGUGUUUGGAACUAGAUGAUCCUAAAGGUCCCUUCCAACCCAAACCAUUCUAUGGUUCUUGGUUGGCCCUGUGAGGAGCCAAGAGUUGAACUCAGUGAUCCCUAAGGGUCCCUUCCAUUUUGAGACGUUCUGCAGCCAGCAAGGAGCAGCAAGGCUAAUGGUCUCUCACUUUGCUUAUGUCACACAUUGUUUAUCAAGGAAUGCAAAGCAGUGGUGCUAGAUCUUCAUGGUAUGACUCACUAACAUACACGCCAGCAGACCUUCAUCCAGAAUCUUUGCCUGCGUAGUGCCCAUUUUCUCAUCCAUUAGAUUUUUUCUGUGAUUUUAUGUUUUUUUUAUUGCAGUGGUUGAUCCCUGUGGCUGAGAGCAAACCAUCAGGAUUUCAGGUGGGAUCUCACAUGCUCAUGGAGCUGGGGCACCUGGCAGAUGGCAGAACAGUGUUCAGCUGCCCCAGUGUAGCAAGGCGAGUGCUGACCUGUGAAGCACGUUCAGUAUUCUGCAGUGGGGGAAUUUUCAUGCAGUCAAACCUAUAAACUCAGUGGGCCAGGCUGCUGUAAAUAUUUUUAAUCCAGGUCCACACAGUUAGCUUCACAGGUCCAGUGUCUGAUCAGAAGUACAAACUAUUCCAAGGAACCAUCUUCGCAAAUAGGCUUAUGUAUGAUCAAUAGCUUGGUGCAUGUGCGUGCACAAAUACUCAUUUAGUUAUUCUGGUCUGUGAAUGCAUGCAUUAACCUGACCGCCUGGUGCUACCCCAGCCUCCCUCCCCUCUCUGCAAACAGGAAAACGGAAUGCAUUCAUUGAUUUCGCUGCUUUGAUUUAUUUGCCUGGCUCUAAUCUCUGUGCAAGAUAAGACUGCUGAGAAUUGUCAAAUUGCAUGCUUUGGAGAAUUGAAGAGGCCAUUUCCUCUCUAUUUCCUACAUUAUAAGAUAAUGUGAGAUACAUGGUAGCAUCCUCCGCCUCCCCACAAAGCAUCAGUUAAUGGAUCUAGCUUUUAGUGUCACUGCUUUGUGCCAGUACGCACCAUCAUUUAUGCCCUGAGAAACUAAAUAGGUAUUUAUCACUGGUGGAAGACAAUUGAACUUCAAGUAAACAGAACGAAAUACCUACCGGCCCAUUUUCUUGGGAAAGUCUGUCCCUGAGUUAGUAAAAACACUAACUGUUUCUGGUGUUGGAGGCUUGUUUAAUUAGCAUUUUGGGUUCUGUAUCGUGUGGGCUGCUGCUUUUGGUGGGUUACUGCUUUCUAUCCCCUCCCCACCCUUCAUUCAAUACUGCCUCUCAGUGUUGUACAUCAUCUGGUGUUGAAGGGGGUCCCAGCUAUCAAGUACUACAGGAGCUGUUGGUUAAGCAGCAGCUGACUUUCAUGCAAAGAAGGGCUUAUUUUUAUUUCAGGGGAGGGGAAGGGACUUGUAUCACUGCCAGCUGUGGGCAAGCACUGAUCCAGCCAUUUGCUGCGGCUGGGUGGCUCUCCCAUGUCAUGGCACAACCAGACCGCCCCCAGGCCGGAGCUGUGAAGAAUAGCCUGUGGGGAAGGAGACUUGGUGUCAGCAAAGAGGAGGGGAAGAAUAGAUAGAAACGUGCUCAGGGAGAGAGAGAGCCAGAAGGGAAAGUCGCGGGUAGGGGAGGUCUUCCAUACUCUCCUAUGAGUCCACCUAGAGAGUUAAUGGGAUGGUCUGUGUAGCCAUGCACCCAAGGGAAGAGACCUGCUGUGCUGAAACGGUGGGGAAAAAGGAUGAGGAUGCUGAAAUACCCACAGGACCUUCUGCUUUAUCUCAUGGCUGAUGAACUGCUCAGAGUUUGGGCAAACUUUGGGGUUUUGUACUCUAUUGACAUCACUCCUUGGAGGAGAGCACCUCCUCACAGAUAAAGGCUAAGCUGCGGGGAGUUGGGGCAUUUCUCUGUCAAAAGUCUGUCCUGGGUACUUCCCAUCAACCCCAGGGUCGCAUCUGGUUGUUGCAUCACUGAAGUUGCUAGGUUUGGGUUUGUUAGGGAAAAAAUCCCAACAAAUUAAAGCAGAUCCAAUGUCUCCUUGCCAGCACUUGCUGCAUUUGGCCUUGGUGAAUUAAUUUGAAAAGUAGUGAUGUGUAAUGGUAUGUGACACGUUCUCAUAUCCUUGGGACAGCUGCGUGCACUGGAGAAAUGCAGCUUCCUUCUGAACACAGUGAGAAAGAAGGGGAAAAAGAGAGGGGGGACUGUUACGAACAGCAUUAACAUAGCUUGGGGAUGAGAUCAUCCUCUCCUGUGCACCUGGGAGCUGGGAGGGUUCGUUAAAAAAACUGUUUAGUCAUUUCAGUGAGGUGGAAGAGCACUGCUCUCUUCUGGUAAUGGGCUUGGAGGAGGAGGAGGCAGCAGUGCUGCUAGUCAGGGGCAGCUUGCAGCCCCCGGCAUGCUGCCCAGGAGGUGCAGGUUCCGAUAUAAAUCCUUCCUUAAGUGCCUUCCUGCUUUGUAAAUGCUUCAUUUAAGACAAAACCUGCAAAAUUCCCACACAGCUGACGUUCUAGCCUCCUGGCCUUCCCUGUAUGACUUCUCAGUGAUUUCUAAUGCUGGCUAAAUGACAGGUUCCACCUGCAGCUGGGGACCAGCACCAACAACCAUCACCUGGACUUACCUAAGGAAGGAAUGUGUUCGGUGCACAAAGUAACCCCUGCGUUUCCCUGUAAUUGCAGCAACUGUGUGUUGGACAGAUGGCCAAUCCCCAGCAUCAUGUCAGGGGAGUUCUGCUUAGUUUUCUGUGCACCCAGCUUUAAUUACAGUUCUUCCAGACAUAUUUAUUCUAAGUUAACUGCGACGAGCUGCAUCAGAAUAAGAUGCUCCUUCCCAGCAGCACCUUCUGCUCGCUUCCCCUAGCUGGGAAUGCCUUCCUGAUGCUCCUCAGGCAGACUUAGCUUGAUGUUUUACUCCCAUCUAGUGCUUCUUUAUUAAAACUGCUGGUGCUCUGCGUCUCGCACAGGGCUGAGCAAACGCUAUCUUGUCUCUAACCUGGUGGUGUCUGCUCAGGAUACAUAAACUCUGUUAAACACCAGUGACUCGCAGCCUGCCCUGCCAGGACUGAGCAUCUCACGGCCCGACAGGGCAGGUCAUGAGCCUCACUGGCAGCUGGGGGUCAGCACUGCCCCAGCUGCGUGCCAAGGGAUUGCUGGAGAGGGUUAGACCUCCUUUCCCCAUCGUUUCUUCUAGAGGUGAGGAAGCAAACCUUCCCCAGCCACUGAGCAUUUGAAUGCGUGGGCACCACUGGACGAAGUGAAUAUUGUCACUGAGGAAGGCUUUGGUCUGUGGGACCAGGUCCCAUGGAUUUAGAAUGAAAGUAAGUGUCUUAAGUGUGUCAAAUACUCAGAAACCACAGGCACUUCCGGGAGUCUUAUUCCCUGUCUUUCCUUUUCCUUUCAUGCUGUUUUGGUACCAAGGUGCUUUUUCUUUUUUCCUUUUUUUAAAUUGACUUUUUUUAUGUCUUUCUGUUCCUUCUAAUCAAAAUUCUGACUGAGCUUUCUCUUUGAACUAAUUUAUAUGAUGAAUGUUUUAGGAGUGUGAUGAGGAAAUACGGAUAAUCUUAGGCUUGUGAUUGAAUAUUUACAGGCAUAAUACAGGCUUCAAGCCAUCUCUAAGUGUUUGGCAGCCCAUGCCUGACCGAGGAAAUAAGCACUCAGGUAAGAUGACCAACUCUCAUUAAAAUUUAGUGAAGGUCAUUAGUUUGCUCUUACUUAGUGAAUUUUCCCUGGGUGACAUAUUGCCCAACGGGGUAUGAUAGCAUAAAUAUGGAAUUUUAGUAUGUGUUUUUUGAAGAUGAGCAAAGCAGGCAGAUGGGCAACUGGGGCCUUAACAUCACUAUAGCUAUCUCUCUUGAUUAAACUAUUAGCACAUUAAUUAAAAUUACUCUAGGGAGCACGUGCAUGGGGUGGGAAAACUGGCAAUCAUGCCAGACCACAGGUGGAGGUGCUGAGUUCUGGGCAGAGCAGCUUUAGGUAGGUAAGCACUCAUCUGGUGGGUUCCUGCACCACUGAGUCAGUGGCACCUCUGCCCUUGCCAGCAUUACCUUUUAUCUGCAGCAAGGCUUUGUGGGCUAGGCUGAGUAAUGAGAUAGGUAAUGUGAUGUCCCCACAUUUCUUUAACAUCUCUUCCCAUGGUCACUGACAAACCUUUUUGCUUUUUCUAUUGUUGAGGUUUCAUUAUGAUGAACAUAAACAGUUCCCCAUUUUAUACCCACCACUGAACCUCCCUGAGACAUUCUGCUUUUUAUCCUAAGUUUCUGCGGUCUUUCUAUCCCCUCUGCUGCUCACAUGACCACAUAUUCCAGCUUGGAUUGAAACAACCUCUGUGCUUUUUGCUCAGCUGAUGUUUCCUGCCCAAGGUCCUGGUUUCUGCUUGGUGCUUUGGCCACUUGUGGCACAUCAAAGACCCCUUCUGCUACCAAAAAUUCAUACUCCUGCCUCUGUGUGCUGCCACUGCACUUCCUUAGUUUUAUUCCGCUGCUUCUUCAUGAGUAAUCAAAACCCUUUCCUUAAAUGCUUGGUGUUUUUUUUUUUUUUCUCUGCAUCCUUCCUUAUUUCCCAUUCCUUUCAUCUUCCAAUGGGGUGCAAUCUGCCCUGAUUUUUUCUCCCCUUAGUUCAAACCCCAGUGAAUAUCUAGGCAGAGCUGUUCUCCUCUCUCCACAGUUAGAUGUGGCUUGCUUUCUUCUUCUUUUAUGCUUCUUUCCCUCUCUUCACAGUCAGUUUAACCACAGACGUGAAACCUCCACCGUAUUCCAUUUAGGAGCAGAGACCGUAUUGCCUGAAACCACUGCAAACCUAUAAAGUUCUGUGUUUGUUUAGCAGGAACAAAGAUUAUUUUUGCAAGAAGGUGAUGAAACAGCAAAGUUAGAGUUCUUCCAGCAGCAGAAAAUGCACAAAGGCAGGCAAUGUUUAUAGGCAGAUAAAUAUCAAAUGUAAUGCACUGAUUAAUAUUCCAGCAGGAUGGACUUUUAUGAACUGGCAUGUCAUUCUGUAGGUUUUAUUUUUAACAGAUGGGAAAGGAAAACAACAUUUGGUCUAGAGCCUCUGUCUGUCUGAAUGAGGUUUUGCUCAUUUGGGGGGCUGCAGCUAUUCUAAACAUGGCAACCUGAUUUAAUUAGCUGACUAGGAUCCUGCUUCAUCAGGGUUUUUUUUUUGUGUGUGGAUAAAUGCACUCUAGCAAAACUGACAGUACUCAGAGCUCCAGACUGCUCCCGCCAAGUUUCCAUCUGAAAUGUGCAAACAAAAUAGCUGAUGAAAUAAUAGACAUGCUCACGCUGGAAACCUUUCUCUUUCCUUUUUCAGGGAAAUUGAAUAUCUAUUGAUUUAUCAUUUCUACCAGAUGGGGAUCACAGCAGUAGUUCCUCUGUGUUUUCACAAGCAGUGUCUUUCACAGAGUUUGCUUUGGUUGACAAGUUAUUUUCCUUCUGAUUUGAGUCUGCCUCUAAUGUGUGCUUUUGGGGUAUUGAUUUCACCAGCAGACAAGCUCUGAUUAUGGCUGUUGCAAGGCUGCCAAGGUCCUGCGAUGUGCAGAAGUCUCUUUGAGUUUCUUCUUCCUGAAAGGCCUAGGCUUCUUAGGGCUAGGAUGAAAAGCAUGAGACCCAUUAAGCAAAGAAGCCAAUCCUGAUGCCUAGGAGGGGUUGCAAAGGCAGUUGGAAUAAAAAGUGAUGCCAAGUCCUUUGUGCAUCUUUGUAUGUGGCACAGGUGCCACAUUGACGCAAAAUGUUUGGAGACUGUCUCCCCGAGAAAGUCUGUUGUCUUAAAUGCAAGUUCCAAUUAUAGUACAAACCCAGCAUUAGGGGCUUUUUGUUUUCAAGUGUGUUGUGCUGAGCUAGGCUUAUCAUCAAGAAGACAAGGGAAUUAACCUUGGUUUAUUAAUUUUAUGUAGACAUUAAUAGUUGCAGCAUCAGCAUUUCCUUGAUUUAGCCACGCGGGUACCACACACAGUAUAGAACUGAAGGAAUGCCAUCUGGGAAUUGAGAGCUGCCCAGUUUUUCAGUCUGCCUUCCCAAGGUUAUAUGACAUCAGUCUCUGAUCAACUGCCCUUUCUGUUGGCUAGUUUCCACCUCAAUUGAAAGGGACAUAAGUCCUGGAAAAGUAAAUUCCCCACUGAAACCCUAGAGGGAACCAAUGAGAAAAAGAGAAGAAGGUGUCAGGUCUCACUGAAUCUCCUUGUCAGCAACCGGCAGGACCUCGGGGUGUAUGUUGGCUUGCCAACCUGCUUAUGAAUAUUUCCAGAUUGGCUACCACACAUAUUGCUCCUUCUUGGUGUUGUCAAAGACAAAUGAGAGCAGGCAGUAGGAGUUACUGCACGUAGGAGAAGACAUUUUAUGGGAUAUCUGACACAUCCAAGGGGAAAAAAAAACCAAACAUUUUUGCUGCCCAGGAAACUGUUUGGAUACUUAGCUGGUCUGGCUUGUUUUGUUUUGUUUUUCCCUCAGAAAAAGUCUGAAUUGUACUGCUUCUUUAUUCCACCAUUCUUUCCCCCUGCAUAUUUCAACUAGCUCCCCUCUGCCAUGAAGUGUUCAUGACAGAGAAAGUAAGCCAGCUGACUGAUGGCUGAGGAAGAGAUUUUCUGCAGGUUAUGGGGCCAUGUGAAGGUGAUGACAGUUACAACAGCGCUGAACUGGCAUAGAAGAUCACAGCAGACCCUGGGCUAUGUAGUUGCUCAAUCUAGUAAUUUAAAUUGCCACCUUGCUUCCCACUGUUGCAGUUUUUCAGUGUUCUUGAAAAUUAUCAUUGCAUGUAUUUACAUAUAUUUACACAUAUACAUAGGUUUAUGCCUUGCUCCCUGAACAGGAAGGUUAUUGCUUGGUCUCAUGUUUUUGACAGCAAGUACAUCUGGAAUCCACUUCCAGCUUCUGCACGUAGGUGAUUUCCUUCUAGUAGGACACCGUGUAAUCCACACCUGGUGCAAGGGCAGAGCUAUUCCACAGCUCCAGAGUACAAAAUCCUCCCUGUGCAGAUCAGCUUCUCGGAGGCUGAGGGGCCAUGCGUGUUCUAGUACUCUUCUGUUCAACCAAAGUCUUCAUUUUCUGUCUUUUUAGAAACCUGUUUAGAAACAUCCUUUACCUUAGGAUGAGAAGUCUGCUUUGGUCUCAAGCCCUGUCUCCCAGAGUUAGAGCAGAGCAAUACAGUAUAACCGAAGCUUCGUCUUUUGUGUGCAUAGCAAUGUGGAGUUUAAUUAAAAAUCUCACUUUCUGUUAUUUUUACUGCAGAUGACUGCUUCAGUGGGUGCCCAAGAAAACAGCAGGAUAAACUAACAAAAUGAAGCAGGGCUGUAUAGUGAAAGUGUUUGUUGUCUGGAGGACUCUGGCUUCGCUUGCUGAAGAAGGCUGAAAAUGCAUAAUGAAUGAGACAGGAUACUCCAGAAAGCCAUAAAAUGGUCUCAGAGGGCAUGUUUGAUACCUCUGUGGGGAGCUAGGUUCUGUAUCUUGCUCAGCCACAGGCUUGGUUCCUAUCCCUUGAACAGAAAAGUUUACCAUACCAUGCAUGCUUCUCAGCUUCUCAUUUUUUGUAUGUGCAAGGCAAGGCAGAUGGGACUAUUUUUUUUUUUUAGAGAGGUGUUACCUGCAGAUGAAGUGACCGCAGCUUUGCCUAUGGAAUGAGAUAUAAAAAAGCUCAGAGUUCUAUAAAAUGAACCAGGAUCUAAGCCUGGGUAUUAAAAAUUCAUAGAUGUUUUUCAUAGGUCUAUACUGAAAUUUCCACCGUGUUGGUACUUUGUGUGCAACAUGAGGGCAGUAAUUCCUAAGUGUCUUAGCCAAACUGUAGAGGAAUCCUUAAUAUUUUGGAGGUACAAGAUGUUGCAGUGGAAAUAUUUGUGAGGAAAACACAAAUUUUAUGCUCGAGGAAGCAAGAUUUGGAAGGCAUGAGGUAAAUAAGGAUAAGUAAUGUGUAUUAUAGCAGCAUGCUAAAAAUAAACAGAAAUAUUUAGCCAUUCACUGAGGAAGACAAGGACGUUGUAUAAAAAUAUAGUCUACAAUCAUGUAAUUAAAGCCUGCAUUGUAAUUUGAAGAAGCUGAAGUAAAGGAGCUGUGUGGGUGGCUUUAGCUCUGUUGUCUUUGUCACUGAGUUUCUGCUUUAAUAGGUAGCUUUUCAGAUGUUGUUGGAUAUGUGACAGCGUGGUAAUAACUUCCACAACACAAGUUUAACAGUGCUCUGAAAGCAAAUAUCUUGCUUUGAAACAGGUACAUUUCACUGGACAAAAUCCUCUCUUUCAUCUCAGCACUCCUCUAUUCUCUUCACUCCCUUCUUUGGAGGAAAGAAGGCUCCAGGGAGACCUCAUUGUGGCCUUCCAAUAUUUGAAGGGAGCCUACAAACAAGAGGGGGUAUGUCUGUUUACAAAGGUGGAUAGUCAUAGGACAAGGGGGUUUUAAAGUCUCAGUUUUAAACUGAGAUGGGGGAGGUUUAGCUUAGAUAUUAGGAGGAAGUUUUUCACUCAGAGGAUGGUGACGCACUGGAACAGGUUGUCCAAGGAGGUUGUGGAUGCCCCAUCCCUGAAGGCACUAAAGGCCAGGCUAGUGGUCUGGUAGACCCUGCACAUAGCAGGGGGUUGAAACUAGAUGAUCUUUGAGGUCCUUUUCAACCUAGGCCAUUCUAUGAUUCUCCUGUUGCCACCUCCAUGGGACACCACGCGAGGGCCAGCAGCCUUUGGUUGGCCACAGGUCCUUCUGACACCUGUGACCAGGCAUUGGAGGUUCCCUGCCUCAUCUCUGUAUCUCACAGCUCCUGGAGUGGGCUGUGACAUAAAUUCCUUGCAGGGAGUACGGUGUGAUGAGGAAGCUGUGCUGGCCACCCCACUCAGCCCCACUGCCAUACCGUCUGUGGCAACAAUGGUGUGUGGUUGCAGGAGGCAGUGAUGCUGAAUGCAGGAAACCUGACGAUGGUAUAUUUUACAGCAUGGCAGCUGUAAUGCAGGAUCGUAAGAAAUGUUUGCAUUUUGAAAUGCUUUAUCUUCCAUUUAAGGGAUAGUGUUUCUGGCAGGGAAAGAAUAUAUAAGGGUAUUAAAUGGCUUUCUUUGCAGGCAAUUAAACAAGGAAGACGAUCAAAGACAUUUAAAUAAUUGUAACAGAUGUUUAUUGCCUGAUGCAGUUUACUGCCUCCUAUUAUUUCUGUUACAUACAGGAGAGAAGAACACAUGGCAAACUGUACCGCAAAAGAAAUUCUUUACUGGCUUGUGAGGAACGUGGCUGCUUCUCUGCCUUCUUAAUUGUAUCAUGUUGAGAACAAGUCAGUAAUAAGUAGUGUUUGGAGGGCAGAGAAGUGGCUUACUGCCUGGAGGAGCAGCAGCAAGUGGUGUGCAAAGACAUGGGGUUGGUGGUAAACACCUUUGAGACAACAGACUGCUGUGGGAUUGCUUCAAGAGUGAUGCUCAGCUCACUCACAUUAGGAAUUUCAGUUCCUCCUGAAGUUAUGCAGUUAGUACUGAGAGGGACAUCCUGGCUCAGGACAAAAGUGUUGGUGGCACUGUAAUCCUCAGUGACAUCUGGGAAUGGCCUCAGGUGGGCAACUAGGCAUUAAUAAAAGGCAAGCAUGUGACAACUCCCCCAGAUACUCCUCAAACAUUUUUGUUGUAGGGCCAGAUGUGUUUUCUUUGUCGUUAAUAACAUAAUAACAUACUUUAGUACUGUGUGUUUAAUUCUAUGUAUUUAAAAACAGAUUUUUCUUGCCUUGAAUUUAAGUGUUCAGAAUAGCCUAUGUAGGACAGUAAGUACCCUAGAGGAACCCAUGAGCUUUUCAUCACCAAUUAAAAGAAAGGGAUGUUUGUUUCCCUAAACAAUAACAAAAAAUUCUAACAAUGAUACUCCUCCCAAUCCCAAAUCCCCAUACAAAAGCCUAUAAACAUUCAAAAUCUAGGCUAGUGUCCCUCCAAUUGUUUUAUCCUUGGCUUUGACUAAAAUCUGAGGCUUUUUCAGCAAACAUCUCAUAUUUUCAAAUUCAGUAAUGACUUCAUACAUCCUACUAAUAGAAAAAAAAGACUUAUUGCCAUCAUUUCAGAACACAACUGGAAUAUUCAAUAUUCCCCAUCUCCCUUCCUCCCUCUUGCUGAAAGAGGAAGACUUCAGGGAGACUCUUUCUCAGAAGGAAUAACAAUUAUUUGAUGUGUUAUUGUUCCUCUACAGAUCACACCUCUCAUCUGGGGCAGAUCUUUUCUCCUCCUUGUGUCCUGACAUCAUCAUAGGCAGCAAAGUCUGCAUUAAAGACAUGAACUAAUGACACAGGCACUGCACUCUAAGAGGUGGUUCCUUCAUGGGCAAUCCACAUUGAGGUGAUGCACAGCAGGGAAGGGAGCUGGCUCCAGCACCCAUCAGGAACUGCUGAAAGGUACUCUUGCUCCUGGGUUGUCAACACAAGAUUUAGUGUGAGUUCCUGAAAGUGUCUUAACAGGCAUAGAAAGCACUGAUUCCCUCAAGUCUGCAGAAACAUGAUGCACAGCAACCAUUAGCACUGGCUUACAUUGCAGAACAAAUUCUGUGGCAGGAUGAGCCAGGUGCUAUGAUAGCUAUGAAAUAGCUAUGAAAUAGCCAUGAUGCUAUUUCAUCUGAGUGAGAGAGGGAAUGAAUUUGGGUCCUGGGGGAGCAUAGAAAGUGGAUGUUAUGCAACUCCUGAAAGAAUCAAGAGCUGUGGCUGUAGCAACUGCCAAUAAAUAUACUCAAGUACUACUCUGCUGGGAAUAUCUACAUGAGGCAUGAAGUGUGCUUACACCAAAUUACCUGAGGACCGCAUGAUGUCAGUCACAAGGAAAACAAUGCUGUGGGUCUUGUAGAUGGUCCUCAGCCUUGCUAUGACAAGAAGGUGCUGAGUGUUUGAAUGGCUCCCAUCCACUGUGAUUGCAUGAAGACAGGUGGGUCUCUGGCCAUGCCUACUCUCAACCUGCAUGGCAUGUUGUCUGACACUGGUAAGGAGUAUCUCAAAUCUACAUGAGGCAAUCAACAUCAUUUUGUGGACAAUUUUACAUUUGAAAGCAUCUCUCUGGAGCUGUUUGUCUUCAAAACAGAGAGCCCAGGAGUGUUUAUUGCCUGUAGGCUUGGCCUGGGAGAAAAUGAAACCAGCUUGAUACUGGAGACUGGGAAAUGAUACCAUUGUAUCCUGUGAAGGCAAGAUGCAAGCUGGCAUCUCCCUGCUUCCUCUCAUCUGUAACUCCAGAAGAACUGUCUUGGCCUCUUUGGACUAAAAUGUUUCAAUGCUUUCAGCUCAGAGCAGCAUUUGGAGACCAAGUUUUUCUUCUGGUAAAACAUAAACUACAGCACAGAAAUAGAAGUAAAACAUUUGUUUGCUCAGCUCUAGUAACGUGGUGCCGAGGCAUGCCCGCAGGUAUGCUUGUACUGUAAUUGCUGCAGCUGUUAUUCUGAAUUGAAUACUUUUCCUUGCUUGCUCCUCUUCCUCUUCAUGCACUGUAGUUUUAUAAAGCUCAAGUUGCUGAUGAUGUGCUGCACAGGAUGGUUUUGAUGUGUUGUCUGGGCAAGACUAUCUUUGACAGCUACCUUUUACUCUCUGGGAGAAACAGGUCUAGGACGUGAUUCCUGCUCCCUCUUGCUACUCUCUAAGUGUUGUUGCAGGUGAAAAGGAAACAUGCCUCGUACAUGAAGUCACUAAUUUAUUAGUAGCAUAAUAGAAAUCUCAAGUCUAAUCCAAGAAUUAUUAUUGAUGCAGAUCUGGUUAUAGAAAGAGGAGGAAUACUAUGAAGAAAAGUCUCGGUAAUAACAUGGUUCAGGUUGUUACGUGUUUAACAUCCUAGUUUCUACACCUUUUUUUUUGUGCAAUGCUUACACUUCCAGUGGGCCCAUGUAACAUCAAAAUUUACUGUUAAUAUUGCCUUUUGUUUGUGCUAGCUACUAUGUCUCUAUUCUCUUCAUUAUCUAUAAAACUGGUUUUGUCCAGCUCCAGCCUUGCAUUUCUUUAAAUGAACACUGGUGGGUUUUUUAUAACCAUGGGAUCACCAAUGCCAGCCUGUGCUGCUUCUGUUACCAUCCUAGGUCUGUGCUGCUCCUCACCAUGUCCUGUGGCUCUGCCUCACAAGGUUCUCUAUAAUGUAUCAUUAUGUUAGAUUAAUAAAUAUCCCAUUCUUUAUAUAAUCACUGCUUGUUACUGCGGUCUAUAUAAAGUCAUGGUUGCAGCCUGUAAAGAUAAACAAAAGUAUAGUAAGCUAUCUAUAGCCUCCUUGUAAUCUGAAAAAAAACUGCUAUUACAGAUGAACCAAGUAAAAUAAGCUGCAGGUGGGUCAUGAGAAGACCAGGCAUAGCCAGCCUGGAGAGCCUCUGUUGAGGCCUUGCAAGCUUGGUACAGAGUUUGUGGCUUGUUCCUAGCACUGGCAAUACUGAUUUCUUGUGCUCUCAUGAGCUUCCUUAUUUGUUUUGAUGAUGCUUCUGAGUUGCUCUGAUCUAAUGGCACUUGCCCUUUCCUGGUUCAGUAUUUCUUUCACAUUUUUUUUCUGUUACGUGGGGUCUGCAGGAUAAAUACCACUGGGUGGGAGAUGGGUAGGGAAAGGAGGAAGGUGAGCAAAGGAGAAUCAGUCUACCCCAGCAGUGGGAUGAGGAUCAUCAUCUCCACUUCUCAGCACAAACAGAUUUUACUAAACUUCCUGUAAGUUUGUCAAGAGUCCUCUUAGUGGUCUUUGACCUUCUGCUUGUCCUGGCCAUCUUAGAGGGUAGGAGCUCAACAAAAUCUCUCUCCUCUGCUUCCUGACUACUCAAGGCAUCCUUCCUGGAAAGAAUGAAUCACUCCCCAAGUGUCAUAGGAAAGACCAUAAGCUUUCCUUAAAGCUAAAGAAAUUCCAGUGUAAUUUCUCAGCUCCAGUGUGGGUCACUCCCUGGCACACCAGGGGCUUUCUUCAUGAACAGAAACCACUCUGCAUAAAUUGCCAUGGCAGAAAUGGGCCCGAGCAAACAAAGACAAUAUGAAUUUGGCUAAAUAAUGUAGAGACAUAAAUUUAAGGACAAAGGUGAACUGAAAAGCCUCCCAUCAGAGGUUGUCUGCACCUGCCCAUGCCAGCUCCAAAGGGGACUCUGCACCAGGGUGUCUUGCCCUUGGUCAGCUUUUCAGCUACACCCAACAAAAGCCUGUACUUCUGGAGCAUACCAGAGCAUCCCCACUUGCAGCUCCUUACCAAGUGAUAUGUGCAGAUCCCACCUUCGCCAAAUCCACUGCAAAUGCUUCCUGUUGAGACCCAGAGUCUCUCUUGGAGGCCCUGGGCCAGCUCUGGGGCCCACCUCACUGAUUGAACUCAGUGGGGUCACCCUGAGGACCAGCAGAUGGUAUCUGGCUUUUAGCUUCCUUCCAAUCUACCAUUGUCACAACUUGAAAACAAGCUAAAAACCGCUUUUCAUAAUUUCUUUCUUAGGCAAAACUCUUAGCAACAACCUUUUUGUGUGUUAGAAGGCAAUAAUCAAAUCACUCUGGCCUUUUGCUGAAGCAGAACAAAUCCAUGGCUGUGUUCCCAGCUGUAAACAAAGGUGCUGCCUCACAUUUCCCUAAGAAAAGAAGCGACUUCUACGAACGAUCACUAGAUGGCUACACUACCGCACAGGAUUUCAUAGCUCCGUUUUUCCAGACCUUCAAACCAUUUUUCACGGCCCUCGUUGUCUGUAAUAUCUUUGGUCUGAAUUGCAUUUCAGCCACAAAAUGCGAUUUCCAUAUCUUCAAUUUUCUUCUCAGCGUGUUGCAAUAUAAUUCUCCACCAUUCAAAUUUAUUGUACAAAAAAAGUCACUAGGGCUUAAAUGGCGUCUAACCUCUGAAGCGUCAGGUAUUGUCCGCCACUGGAAACAACAUCCUGGGCUACAUGCCCCAUUGGUUUGAUC
ensembl:lncRNA